AGUACUCUUCCUCCUGGGAGAGAUGCCUGUCCGGUAGAUGCAGAUGGGAAGAUACAGAUGCAGAUGGGAAGAUACAGAUGCGAAGCUCAUUCUGUAGGGAGGUGUUUCUGCUAUGAGUCCAGUUCUUGUUUGGCGAUAUGCAUGGACAAUUCUACAGCUGUCGUUUGCUUGUCUCCUGGCUGUCAUGGUCCUGACUAUCAAGGCCUGUGAUUUUCAGUGCAGAUGGGUUAUGGACAUAUGAAGAGUGGAGGCUACCGCCCUGUACAGGAGGGAGUCUGAAGAUACAGCCUGGAUCCUACACCAACUGACAUGGAUCAAGGGGUAGAAGUCACAACUGGGCUGGACUUGACUCAGUCAAGCCAAGUGCUAUCUUUGCAUGCAAAGUGUUUUCCCAUCUUGCUUUGGAGGAUAUACAUACAGCCAUAACGGAGGCUUCUACAGAUGUAGAUAGUCUGUAAUUGUGUUAGAGCAGUCCCUGGCCCCUAGCUGUGAAAAAUUAGACCUUCAGGACUGUAUUCUGACAGCCUAAGGGAACUUGGAGAAGUGUCCUGUGUUUCUUCUGAGAACCCCAGUGUGAGCCACAGCUUAAGGGCACUAAGCACAGAAUCAGACAUGUCUCUGUUCCAAGGAUCUCUCUGCAAAUAUAUGCACAAAGGCUUAUUGUUGCAGGGCACAGAAAACUGAUGCUUCCCCAGUUUUAGUAGUAUGGUGAUGGACUCUGAGGCCUUGCACAUCCUAGGCAAGCCCUCUAACAUUAGAGCACAUCCUAGACCCUGAUUUUAAUUUUUCAUUAUGUUCUCUUCUGUUGAGACAGGGUCUUGUAUAGCUCAGUCUGACUUUGAACUCACUGUCAGUGAGAAUGGCCUUGAACUGCUGAUCGCCCUGCCUUCACCUCCCAUGCGCUGAAUGUUUUGGAACUGUGCUUGGUCAGGGAUACCUUCUCUCCUUUCUUCCUUUCUCGUCUUCAUUGGGUUAUUUAUAGUGCCUCGUGUGCCUUGUGUCUGUGUCUUCUGCAUUUAGUUUUGUGCAUGACUUUAAAGCGUCUUCAAGGGAAGUCUGGUGUGUCCCUCAGGUUUACUUUCAAACCCAUUGUGGCUUACACUCCAAUAGUCUUCCCAAUCCUGAAGCCUUCUGAAACAUCUAUGGGACAUUUGCAGCCUUCCAUUUCUGUUCCUAGCUAAUGCUUCAAGGUGCGCUCAGUUUAAGAGGUGGGCGGGUACUUCAGGAGGAAAUCAGUUCACAUCUCCAUGUGUCCUUCAUUUCCAGGAUCUUAAUUCUGUUAUAUCUAACUGUUGCUUAUCCCAAAGCCCUUGCUUGGUUUAUGUCCUUAAUGUAGUAAAGAUUCUGCUAGACCUUAACCAUAGGGGGUUUUUUUUUUCCUUUAUGAUUCAGUGUAAAAUUUGAAAAUUGUUGUGGAAAAAAAUAAUGGAUAAUGUUCCAAUUAUAGAUGUUUCCCCCUUUCCUCUCUAGAGUUGGUGUUUUAUAUAUUCUGGUUGUCUUCACUGAUCUCUGGCUUGUUUUAAUUGUCCUCCGUGAGAGAAUUCUAUCAGCCUUCCGAGCUCAGCGUGUGUUAAGCACAGGCAGGAAGUCAAAACCCAAGUGAGUCUCCAUUUACUAAAGAAGGAGAUCCCAAGUUUUCUUUCAGUUCUGUUAGGAAUUGAUGACAAGAUCAAUUGGACGUGGAAGAAAACAUGCUUCUGGCUAGUGGGCGGAAGCACAGCAAGUGGUGUAGCCAGGAAGCACUGUGGUCUACAACUGAAAUGCGUCCCUGUUCACUAGUUUCAUGGGUCAGCAGUAUAAUCCCUGACAUCACUAAGCAGAGGCAGAUGAAAGGCCUUAGCGUGAUAAAUAGUGACGAAAGUGAAGGUACUGUUCAGCAGUGGGACCUACUGCCACAUCAUCUGGCCUUGGGUAAUAAAUGACACACAGCACAGUGUAUUAUACAGACCGCUGGGAAUGGCUUGUGCUUCUGAAUCUCAGGCCCAUCCCUUGUGUCUUGAGGCCAAGUCCAAUCUGAGCAAGGAGGCACUUACAGAGGGCGGGAUUGUGAUUUCAUGCAUGGUCUGUAAGAGUCAGGUGAGACGGGCUUAGGACCUGUUAUUAACCAUGUUCAGCACUAGAAAGCAAUGCAAAUCUCCAGUUUCCCGUUAGUGUUGGGGUAAUAAAGAACCAUCCUUGUCAUAGCUUGUUUUGGUGUCUGUGUGAUGUGGCCAUUUCCCACUCUCACCCUCUUGGCAUCUCCUGUCCACAUUCAGGACACAACCACACACACUAACACUUACUGAUCAGGUUCCUGAUUGCUGCCCCAUGUGUUAAGAACCAUGCACAGCUGGGUGGAGUGGGAGGCAGGUUAAAAUCCUUCCCUGAAGGUCUCAGUGCUCAAGCAAAUGUCAUAUUUGCUUUCUCUGUAUUACCAGGCCUGACCUGCUCCAUGGACAUAACAGGUACUAAGCUGGAUAUGUACAAGAUGGAAACGUUUGUGUUCUGUGACAAAAUGUGGCACUGUCUUUAGAAGUAGAAUGUUAAAAAAAAAAAGUAGAAUGUUGCUGCUGGAGAGAUGGCUCAGAGGUUAAGAGCACUGACCCCUUUUCCAGAGCUCCUGAGUUCAAUUCCCAGCAACCACAUGGUGACUCACAACCAUCUGUGAUGGGAUCCAAUGCUCUCUCCUGGUGUGUCUGAAGACAGUUACACUGUACUCAUAUACAUUAAAUACAUAUUUCUUUUUUAAAAAGUAGAGUGUUAAGGGCUUGAGAGAUGGCUCAGCCGUCAGGAGCAUUGGCUGUUCUUCCAAAGGACCCACGUUUAAUUCCCAGGACCCACAUGGCUGCUUACAACUGUCUGUAACUCCAGUUUUAGGGGAAUAUGACACUCUCUUCUGGCUUCUGCAGACACUGCAUGCAUAGAAAUAUGCACAGGUAAAACACCCAUACACGUAAAAUAAGCAUAAGGUUGAUUGCUUCUUAAGAACAGAGCUGUAGUGAUUAGUUCCAAGCUGUCUAUGUCACCCUUGAGAUCUUGAAGGCAUUUCUGGAUGCAGAAGAAGAAAUCGUUCAGGACCAUUACCAACUGUCUCAACUGAUGGCUUCAAGGGGCUUGGUCUACUGUGUGAAGGUUUUGGUAGGCAAAUGGGAUGGAGACUUCAUUUUGUGUGUUGAAACUGACAUUUCUCACGGGAGGCUAUCUGGUGUCUCAGAGGGCCUGUCAGACUGUGCCCUUUAUGAUGGAAGGUAGCCCACACAGCUGAGCUGAGAUUCCACGGCUGUGCUGUGCCAAUCGAAAGUGUGUUUAUAAGGUUCAGGAAUCCAAUUUUGCCUGGAUUAUGUCCCUGCUUUGCUUUGGAAUGGAAAGCUAUCUUUAUCGGUCAAAUAGAGGAUGAAAAUGGUUUAGGUCUGGAUUUCAGGCCACUUCUCGGUCGAGCCGGCAAGAUUGUCUCACACACCACCUGUGCAGCAUAGGUCCCAAACACUUCAGAACAUGUGUCCCUGUUUGGUACAGAGAAAAACAGCAGAAAUAAUUCCAUCUGAGUGUGUGUCCAACAGGCGCUCUGUAGCCCAUAUCCGGCUGGAUAUAUUUGUUAAGAAACUUGAGUUGGGCAGGUCAUCUACUGUGGAGGGGAGGCUGUGAGGGUGCUAGGGUGCUGAGAUGUUCAUGCAACACUCCUGCUUCCCCAUGUUUGCCCUGGCCACUGGAUUUCACACUGUGCUGUAAUAAAAGCUGUUUCUAAUCUC
rnacentral:lncRNA from 1 species